AAACACGCGCCCUUCAAUGGUUCCCAAAUUUUUUAAACAAAAAAAGUAAAACAAAAAUUAGAAAAAACACAAAUAAUUUCCUGGUUCAUUACUCCACCGAAGAAACAGAGAGGAGAGAGACUGAGAGCGUUUACAAAGUUAGGGUUUCGAAGGAUCGAAGGAUCUGACAUGCGAUUCACAAUUUGGUCUGAGCCAAUCGAAUUUCUUGCAAGUUCUAGCCAUUGGGUGCGAAAAUUCUCUCUCACGUCCCUGAAUCGAGUCACAGGGUUGAAUUGGGGAAACUUACGAGGGUAAUCGAACAACUUACGAGGUACACAUUCCACUUAAGCCAGCCGCUACUUUCCUGUAAUGGUGUAGUGGGACAAUGCUGUGAUUCGAACAUGGGGUGAAAAGAUAACAGAGUCAAAGUUGAAAAAUCAUGUUGAGCUUGUUGAGCUUCUGGGGAUAGUAGAUACAAAGAAAGGCUCUAAUGUUGUUGGGGCUAGAGGUUUUUACUUGAAAGGCGAUGGUGUGCUUCUAAAUCAAGCUCUUUGAAGAGCUUAGAUAGGAAUAGAUUGCUUUUAUUUUUAUGAGAUCUUGUGGGGAAGAGAUCAGAGCCAUUCAGAGGAGGAGGAGAACUCAGCGGGCUAUAUAUGAAGGGUAUUUCAUAUAUAGAGAUAUUGAAUCUAACUGUGCAACCCUCCACAGUCUCUACCAAGCAAAUACCAUUAACGAGUUGGCUAUCUUCUGAUCCAGCUCAUAGUAAACUUCCAUUUUAUUUAGGGGUUUCAUGUCAAGGUCGAUGAAAAAUGCCUGCAAGAGUGCGUAGAUCACAACUCACAAGGAACUUAGGGAAGAUAAUUGAAUACAGGAGCAUGGUGAGCUAAAUGGAGAAGAAAUGUAGAUCUAACAAAUGAGACGGUGGAGGCUCUUGUUUGUUUUGGGUCAUUUUGUGAUUUCUAGUAAUGUUGAAUUUGUUUAAAUGGAUUUUAUGUAUUUUAGCCAUUAAAAGCGCUAAAUUAAUUAGUGAACAACUAUUUUGUAAUGCAUGUGUCCUAUGGGCACCAAUAUUGUAAUAUUACUAUUUAAGUCAAUGAAAAUCUUUUGCCUGGGCA